rnacentral:rRNA from 1 species
CCAGUAACGGCGAGUGAAGCGGCAACAGCUCAAAUUUGAAAUCUGGCCCCCAGGGCCCGAGUUGUAAUUUGCAGAGGAUGCUUUUGGCGCGGUGCCUUCCGAGUUCCCUGGAACGGGACGCCAUAGAGGGUGAGAGCCCCGUCUGGUCGGACACCAAGCCAGUGUAAAGCUCCUUCGACGAGUCGAGUAGUUUGGGAAUGCUGCUCUAAAUGGGAGGUAUAUGUCUUCUAAAGCUAAAUACCGGCCAGAGACCGAUAGCGCACAAGUAGAGUGAUCGAAAGAUGAAAAGCACUUUGAAAAGAGGGUUAAACAGUACGUGAAAUUGUUGAAAGGGAAGCGUUUAUGACCAGACUUGGGCCCGGCGAAUCAUCCAGCGUUCUCGCUGGUGCACUUCGCCGGGCCCAGGCCAGCAUCAGUUCGCCGCGGGGGACAAAAGCUUCGGGAACGUGGCUCCCUCGGGAGUGUUAUAGCCCGUUGCAUAAUACCCUGCGGCGGACUGAGGUUCGCGCUCCGCAAGGAUGCUGGCGUAAUGGUCAUCAGCGACCCGUCUUGAAACACGGACCAAGGAGUCGUCUUCGUAUGCGAGUGUUCGGGUGUAAAACCCCUACGCGUAAUGAAAGUGAACGCAGGUGAGAGCUUCGGCGCAUCAUCGACCGAUCCUGAUGUUCUCGGGAUGGAUUUGAGNAAGAGCAUACGGGG